AUGCCCCGUCUCCCCUUCACCUGUCUUCCCUCUGCAGGGGCGGGGCUGGGGGGCCACAGCGCCCCGCCCCCGCCUUCCUCCUGCCAGAUCUAUUUCUGGGCUCUCGCCUGCAUUUCCUCGCGUUCAGUGAGCGCAGCUGUCCCGGAUCCACGUCCGCUGCUGGGAGCCGGGAGCUCUGAUCCCGCUCCUGCUCCUCGCCUGGGUGUGGGGGUGUGGCCAGCUGUCACUCACCAGAGUGCAAAGCCUGCUCCUCUGGGCCUGGAAGCCUGCGGCCCUGGGGGAGUCACCACGGGGCCCUUGCCUGUCCCUUGUGCUCUGUAUCCAGCGCAGGUGCGACCCCUGCCGAUGGGCUCAGAGCUGGGCUCAGCUGGGCAGAGGCAUGGGCUUGGGCGCAGGGUCUCUAGAUGCACGUGGCCCCUGAGGCCCCCUUGGAGCAGCCCCGGCGGCUCUGACCACGCCCUCCCGGGGCUGGGGCACCGGCGGAGUGGGUGCUCACGGUGGCCCAAGGGGAGCCGAGCCCCCGUCCUGGAAGAGACAGAGGCUCUUGGUGCUGGUGGGGGUGGGGGUGGGGAAGUCCUCCCUGCGGAUGGCCCCAUGGCCGCAGUGGGAGCUCGGGCUGCAGCAGCUGCAAGCCUGACUCACCUUCGGCCUGGGAGAAGGGGCCUUGGAAAGAGCAUUUUGCCUGCGUGUCCCAGGGACUGGAGAUCGGAGAAGCUGGCCCGGCGUUGUCCACUGGGAGAUGAACAGGAGGCUGGCCCUCCCUGUGGGGGACUGUGGCACCCUGCAACUCAGGGCAGGGCCCCCCGGGAAGACCACCUGACUCCCGCGGGCCGGGCAGACCUGAGGGCCCCUGCUGGGCUCUGCUUGUCCCCUCCGGUGAGUGUGGUGUUGACACGGCGCAGAGCACAGGCGGGGGCCCAGACCAAACGCGGGAGGAGCCGGGGUGUGGCCCGCCUGCAGCCCGGUGUCCAGGACCCGGGCCGCUCCUCUGCUUUCCCCUGGGUGUGGCGCCUCAGGCUUCAGUUGACGGGGCCGGUGGGAGACGCAGCCCCAGUCCUGCAGUUUGCCUUCAUUCUCCACCCUUUGAGGCAAAAGCAAAGCAGCACACCCGGGUUUGGGAGACCCGGCAUCCCCGCGGGCCUCGGGCCAGGUGCUGUGCCUCCUACGUCUGCUCAGGACUUCCCAGCACCCGUCCCCGUGUGCGCAUCCCCCGGGAGGCGGUGUCUGCCUGUCCCGGAGCCCUGCCUGGCCAGGAGUACCUGCCGCUCAGUGUCGCCUUGGAUCCACAGUGCGGGUGAGGAGGUGGCUUUCCUGCCAGGGCUGGAAGCCAUGACUUAA
rnacentral:lncRNA from 1 species